rnacentral:rRNA from 1 species
UACGUAGGGUGCAAGCGUUGUCCGGAAUUAUUGGGCGUAAAGAGCUCGUAGGCGGUCUGUCACGUCUGCUGUGAAAACUCGGGGCUUAACCCCGGGCCUGCAGUGGGUACGGGCAGACUAGAGUGCGGUAGGGGAGACUGGAAUUCCUGGUGUAGCGGUGAAAUGCGCAGAUAUCAGGAGGAACACCGGUGGCGAAGGCGGGUCUCUGGGCCAUAACUGACGCUGAGAAGCGAAAGCAUGGGGAGCAAACGGG